GAUGAACGCUGGCGGCGUGCCUAAUACAUGCAAGUCGAGCGAAUGGAUUAAGAGCUUGCUCUUAUGAAGUUAGUGGCGGACGGGUGAGUAACACGUGGGUAACCUGCCCAUAAGACUGGGAUAACUCCGGGAAACCGGGGCUAAUACCGGAUAACAUUUUGAACCGCAUGGUUCGAAAUUGAAAGGCGGCUUCGGCUGUCACUUAUGGAUGGACACGCGUCGCAUUUGAUAGUUGGUGAGGUAACGGCUCACCAAGGCAACGAUGAGUAGCCGACCUGAGAGGGUGAGCGGCCACACUGGGACUGAGACACGGCCCAGACUCCUACGGGAGGCAGCAGUAGGGAAUCUUCCGCAAUGGACGAAAGUCUGACGGAGCAACGCCGCGUGAGUGAUGAAGGCUUUCGGGUCGUAAAACUCUGUUGUUAGGGAAGAACAAGUGCUAGUUGAAUAAGCUGGCACCUUGACGGUACCUAACCAGAAAGCCACGGCUAACUACGUGCCAGCAGCCGCCGUAA
rnacentral:rRNA from 1 species